rnacentral:misc_RNA from 1 species
GUGAAUCAUCGAAUUUUUGAACGCAAAUUGCACUCUCUUCGGAGAGUAUGCCUGUUUGAGGGUCAGUAUUAAUAAAAAUCGGUGUGUUGCUUCUUUGUGACGCUUCGGAGUUUGGGUCAUCUUAACAUCCUUUAGGUUUUAAGAGGCUUAAAAUUGACUUUUUUUUGCGCAUUUUAUUAGAUGUACAUAAAUUUUUUUUUUAUUUCUCUUGUUUUAUUCUCAAAAACCUAUUUAAAUCAAACAAUAUAUG